rnacentral:misc_RNA from 1 species
GUAUUUACAACAGCUCAAUCACUAAUAUGCAGAAUGAGACAACAGGCAUGUAUGCAUUAAGUGUCUAUCAAUAAAUUUUAACACAAUAAAUUUUAACAUAACUUCAACCAAGCCAUAUACCAGCUGAAAGUACUGUUCCCAUGUUAGGGAAGGAUAUUGAAAAAUUAAAUUACCUUCAAGUAACCAUACUGAAAAUAGACCAUUUUUUAUCCAAAUUAAUGUAGUUAUCUCCAGCAAAGAAACAUAACAUGGGUAACAAAUCAAAACCAUGCACAACUGAUUAGGUUAGACCUAAGUGUGUCCAUUCCAG